GUCGCGGUCCGGGACUGUCCUCAGUCCCGGGUCGUCUCGGCGCGGUUCCGAGCGGUCGCUCCCUCGCGAGGUGCCGCGGGUCAGCGGCUGACGCCAGCCACCUUCCCGACCCGUCUUGAAACACGGACCAAGGAGUCUAACAUGUGCGCGAGCCGCGGGGCAGUACGAAACCCGUAAGGCGAAAUGAAGGUGAACGCCGGCGCGGUCCGGCGGAGGUUGGAUCCCGUCCCGUCGGGGCGGGCGCACUACCGGCCGAUCUUCUCCGCCCUGUCGGCGAGGUCGAGCGAGAGCGUGCAAGUCGGGACCCGAAAGAUGGUGAACUAUGCCUGAGGAGGUUGAAGCCAGAGGAAACUCUGGUGGAGGACCGUAGCGAUUCUGACGUGCAAAUCGAUCGUCAAAUUUGGGUAUAGGGGCGAAAGACUAAUCGAACCGUCUAGUAGCUGGUUCCCUUCGAAGUUUCCCUCAGGAUAGCUGGCGAUCUGUCGCAGUUUUAUCUGGUAAAGCGAAUGAUUAGAGGUCUUGGGGGCGAAACGCCCUCAACCUAUUCUCAAACUUUAAAUUGGUAAGAAGCCCGACUCGCUCGUUUGGAGCCGGGCAUGGAAUGCGAGUGCCAAGUGGGCCACUCUUGGUAAGCAGGACUGGCGAUGCGGGAUGAACCGAACC
rnacentral:ncRNA from 1 species